rnacentral:rRNA from 1 species
AACGCUAUGCAGUGGAUCACUUGGCUCGGGGGUCGAUGAAGAUCGCAGCUAGCUGCGAGUCGGAAUGUGAACNAGGCUAUUUUGCAGAAUAUAAGUUCCUCAUAGGUUUUACUUUUUUUAUCCUACUUUGGAUAUGAAGCAUGAAAACGUAGCU